ensembl:lncRNA
UUACACCCUUGUGUAUGCUGCAACCACAGCUGACAACAAUUACACAGCAAUGUACAAUGUAACAACAGCUGGCACAACUUUACACAAUGGUGUGGCGACAACCAGUAACACAACAGUUAGUACAACAACAAUAUCUCCCAACUACACAAUGAUAAAGAGCACAACUACAGCCUCUAACAAUUACACAACACCAGUGAUCAUUACUCCGACUAUUCUAUCUCAAAAUAAAACAACUGCAAUUAUUGGAACCACAGAGAAAAGCACAACUGCUGCAGUGUCUCACAGUACUAAACCUACUUCAGCUCCACUGAAGAACCAGACUGCAAAUUUCACCACAGUGAGUUUGACUCAUGUCACAACAAUAAGCAAAAAUGAAACCAUGUCCACCACAGCUGCUAGCACCGUCCAAACAGAUGACAGACCAGAGGCCGGUUUAACGACAACAACGACAACAACGACAACAACGACAACAACAACAGAAAAUGCAUCUGUUGUUAUUAUCUCACCCGCAACCACUGCAACUACUAUAACAGGUCAUGGUCCACAAGAUUUAAAUGGCACAACUGCUGAGGUUUCUUUGACUUAUACAACACCGCUCACCAAAACUACUACAACCACCACAGUGGCUGAGAACACAGGAACUUCCACAACUGAUGUACAAACAACUGAUGAAGCAGUCUACCUGUUGAAUCAAACACAGGCUAUAUCUCUGCUCAACGCCUCUCAAGUGUCAGUGUUGGUUGAGACGCUGGAGAAGCAUCUGGACAGUCCCUCUGUUUCACCAUCAGUGGUAAUCAAA